AGAAAGAAAAACAUGAACUUCUAAAAGUGUCGAUUAUUGGUGCCAUUACGUUACAUAUAGAAGGCUGGACAUCGAUAUAUCCACACAUUUUCGUUUUGCCGCUUGUAGCGGCAUACUAGAAUAUAUAUAAGCAUAUUAGAAUCUCCUGUGGGAAAUGCCUCAUUCAACAAAAAGAUGUCCAUGGGUUUUUCCUCAUCACUUCCCAUCACAUGAACCUCUUGCUUUUGAUUGUUUGCCCCCUCUUGUAUAUAUAAAAAAAACUUGUUUGAGUUUAUAUUUGCCAA